GCUCAGGAUGAACGCUGGCGGCGUGCUUAACACAUGCAAGUCGGACGAUGAAGCCCUUCGGGGUGGAUUAGUGGCGAACGGGUGAGUAACACGUGAGCAACCUGCCCUUGACUCUGGGAUAAGCCUGGGAAACUGGGUCUAAUACCGGAUAGGACCUCCUGCCGCAUGGUGGGGGGUGGAAAGCCUUGUGCGGUCUUGGAUGGGCUCGCGGCCUAUCAGCUUGUUGGUGGGGUGAUGGCCUACCAAGGCGACGACGGGUAGCCGGCCUGAGAGGGUGACCGGCCACACUGGGACUGAGACACGGCCCAGACUCCUACGGGAGGCAGCAGUGGGGAAUAUUGCACAAUGGGCGGAAGCCUGAUGCAGCGACGCCGCGUGGGGGAUGACGGCCUUCGGGUUGUAAACCCCUUUCGGCAGGGAACAAGCCUUUCGGGGUGAGGGUACCUGCGGAAGAAGCGCCGGCUAACUACGUGCCAGCAGCCGCGGUAAUACGUAGGGCGCGAGCGUUAUCCGGAAUUAUUGGGCGUAAAGAGCUCGUAGGCGGUUUGUCGCGUCUGCUGUGAAAGCCCGGGGCUCAACCCCGGGUCUGCAGUGGGUACGGGCAGGCUGGAGUGCAGUAGGGGAGACUGGAAUUCCUGGUGUAGCGGUGAAAUGCGCUGAUAUCAGGAGGAACACCGAUGGCGAAGGCAGGUCUCUGGGCUGUAACUGAC
rnacentral:rRNA from 1 species